ACGGGAAAGAGAAAAAAAGAACAUGCGUAAAUGCUUUCGUUGCCUUUCAUUGAGGGUAAAAUGCCAGCUUCUCUCUUUGUUACAGAGCUAGAACCAACGAUAGUAAAUGCUGACGGAGAGGAAAGCCGGACAAGCGGUCUUUUUGUGAUUAAUACCUAAGGGACGAAGUGAAUGAAACGAGGAAGCAAAAAUGCAGUAGACCCCUGAUAUCCCCAGCAACUGCUGCAGAAGGAGGUGUUCUGCCACGGGCAAACGAAUUGCCACGGCUGAAGUUGAAGAGACCAGAAAAACGUAAGCAAGCUGAGGUGCGAAAACCACGCGGAACCAGCCGAGAGCCGUCUCCGUCUCCCGCGAACGAAAGCCCGUCCUUCCUGACUAGGAAGGCUCACUGUUAGUAGCGAUCGAAAUAACGGAUCACAGACGUAUAACGAAGUGCUGGCAGACAAAGUUAUAACGUCCCAAGGCAGACUCUUAGGCAAGACGGAGGAGUUCAGCUGGACAGCCUGCUCGAAGAGUCUCGCCCAAGAGGGGUUGCUAGCCCCCUCUUGAGCUCUAGGCGCUGAUGCAUCUGCAUCGUCCCGUCAGACACACAGACGUUUUCUUUGCUCGCAGACGUUUCAGCACGUCUUUACGCCUUACAGCGGUAGCAUUUAUAAACUGCGUUAAUCCUAGGCGUUCGUAACGUCGAGGAACGACUGCACGCUGCCGUGGAGAAUUACAGGCUACCGCCCUCGGACCUCUGCAAGUUAUUGUGUGUCAGGAGCAGCCGGUAGGAUCCAAAUGCCAGCGGAAAGGUUCUCCUCCCGGUCCCGACGAGGAGCCUUCGGCCGUAGGAAGGUCGGCCGCGUCCUUACCUGCGCUGAGCGUAGUCUGGCCGUCGAAAGAGCGUUGUCGUCGCUGGGAGCUCUCCGCAGAGAUCUGCGUCUGGCCGCCGAAGACGAGCGGAAGGCGAGCCCGGGCUUGCGGCGUGGACGCAGCUAAGUCCCGGGGCUGCGUUGCGUGUGAGCAGGGCUGCGACGUGGCAGUGGUUUUGCCCUUGGCGGUUACGGGUGUCACUGGCUGUGGAUGGUUGCCCGCGGAGACGAGAGGAGCAAAACUAUCAACGGUCUGUGGGGGAGACGAAUUAGCGCUUGCGGCGUUUCAGAGCUGAAUCCUAUCCCCGAAGGAAAAAGCAGAAGGGGCAGGCCGACGGCUACGCAGACGCCUGCCGCCUCGGGGGCUGCGGCGGGAGCUGACCCUUCCCCGACGGACGGUCGGACGGUCGGAGAGACGGACGCUGGCGUGGCGAUGACUCUUCAGGUGUCACGGGGUAAGGGGAAGCGUGCCGGACCGAGCUCCGUGGCAGGCUCGCUCCCAGGUGGCGUUCCUGCCCAGUAAAACAAUAAACAGCCGCUUUAUUCUUUGCGGUCGUGUCUGUGGUUCCGGACGCCCCCCUGCCUGAA